CAGGGAUGGAACCCGUAUCUCCUGCACCAUAGGCAGAUUCUUUACUACUGAGCCACCUGGGGUGAAAGUCACUCAGUAAUGUCUGACUCUUUGUGACCCAAUGGACCACAGCCCACCAGGCUCCUCUGUCCAUGGAAUUCUCCAGGCAGAGUCUUUACUGUUUGAAUCACGAGGGAAGCACUAAAUAAUUGUGGAAUGGAAGGAAAACUGAUAUGCCUUCCUUCACCUGUGAGCUCUCAUCUCUCCUUCUAGUCAAAUUGCACAAGUAUGACACUGUCUUUCCUCUGAGGAUUUCUAAGGAGUAUCUGAGGUUUUUGCCUGAUGGAUACAAGACGGCUGCUGUAGCUCCAAAUUGUGGCCUCUCACAAAACCACCAAGAGCAGGAAGGGUAUCAGAC
ensembl:lncRNA